rnacentral:misc_RNA from 1 species
UCCGGGUUUCGCCCGGCAGUCCCUUUAGAGUGCCCAACUGAAUGAUGGCAACUAAAGGCGAGGGUUGCGCUCGUUGCGGGACUUAACCCAACACCUCACGGCACGAGCUGACGACAGCCAUGCACCACCUGCGCAGAAGUCCCUUGCGGGAGGUGCUCACUUUCGUGAGCAUUUCCUCUGCAUGUCAAACCCAGGUAAGGUUCUUCGCGUUGCCUCGAAUUAAACCACACGCUCCGCUGCUUGUGCGGGCCCCCGCCUAUUCCUUUGAGUUUCAAUCUUGCGAUCGUACUUCCCAGGUGGGAUACUUAAUGCUUUCGCUCAGACACUUACAGUUUAUCGCAAAUGUCGAGUAUCCAUAGUUUAGGGCGUGGACUAC